rnacentral:lncRNA from 1 species
GAAAAAUAAAGAACUUGUGUUGCAAGUGUGUCAGUACUUAAGAACUUUGGCAUGAGAUAUGGAAUGGAAGGCCAUGUUAUGACUCGCCUGGCACGCACGCAAUCUUCACUGUUCUGUUCAUACUCACCUUUUGGUUAAAGUUUCCUGAAAGGUACACAAUUCUUUUACUUCCUGGAAUCUAGUUUUCAUAUUGCAGAAGUUCUAAAUCUUACAGCUCUCCAACUCCGGCCGUCCUUCCAAGAAGCUCCUCAGUAACUCGUACUGUGUGUUCUCGUCACUGAUCAUCGUGGCCUGAGCCAGAAACUAGGGAGAGCGGAACUGGCUGGAUCCGCCGAAACCUUGCACUCGGAGUUUUUGGAUGGGAAAGCGGUGACUUCAACCCCUCCGAAAGAAUGAGGCCCAUACUUUCAACGUAAGAUAAAAUAAAAACCCUGCCAGGUAUCCUAAUCUAGAUCUGCAUCUGAUUCCUUGAUCUAGCUUUCCAG